rnacentral:rRNA from 1 species
UGGCUGUUCGCCAUUUAAAGUGGUACGCGAGCUGGGUUUAGAACGUCGUGAGACAGUUCGGUCCCUAUCUGCCGUGGACGUUUGAGAUUUGAGAGGGGCUGCUCCUAGUACGAGAGGACCGGAGUGGACGAACCCUGGCAUGCUGAGGUUCUAACUCUGGUCCGUGAUCCGGAUCGAGGACAGUGUAUGGUGGGCAGUUUGACUGGGGCGGUCUCCUCCUAAAGAGUAACGGAGGAGUACGAAGGUGCGCUCAGACCGGUCGGAAAUCGGUCGCAGAGUAUAAAGGCAAAAGCGCGCUUGACUGCGAGACAGACACGUCGAGCAGGUACGAAAGUAGGUCUUAGUGAUCCGGUGGUUCUGUAUGGAAGGGCCAUCGCUCAACGGAUAAAAGGUACUCCGGGGAUAACAGGCUGAUACCGCCCAAGAGUUCAUAUCGACGGCGGUGUUUGGCACCUCGAUGUCGGCUCAUCACAUCCUGGGGCUGAAGCCGGUCCCAAGGGUAUGGCUGUUCGCCAUUUAAAGUGGUACGCGAGCUGGGUUUAGAACGUCGUGAGACAGUUCGGUCCCUAUCUGCCGUGG